rnacentral:rRNA from 1 species
UGGGGAAUAUUGCACAAUGGGCGAAAGCCUGAUGCAGCAACGCCGCGUGAGUGAUGAAGGCCUUCGGGUUGUAAAGCUCUGUCUUCUGGGACGAUAAUGACGGUACCAGAGGAGGAAGCCACGGCUAACUACGUGCCAGCAGCCGCGGUAAUACGUAGGUGGCAAGCGUUGUCCGGAUUUACUGGGCGUAAAGGAUGCGUAGGCGGAUACUUAAGUCAGAUGUGAAAAUCCCGGGCUUAACUUGGGAACUGCAUUUGAAACCGGGUAUCUAGAGUGCGGGAGAGGAAAGUGGAAUUCCUAGUGUAGCGGUGAAAUGCGUAGAGAUUAGGAAGAACACCAGUGGCGAAGGCGACUUUCUGGACCGUAACUGACGCUGAGGCAUGAAAGCGUGGGGAGCAAACA